GACGAACGCUGGCGGCGUGCUUAACACAUGCAAGUCGAACGACGAAGCUGGAGCUUGCUCCGGUGGAUUAGUGGCGAACGGGUGAGUAACACGUGAGAAAUCUGCCCUUGACUCUGGGAUAACUGCGGGAAACUGUAGCUAAUACCGGAUAUUUUCCUUGGUGGGCAUCCACUGGGGAAGAAAGAAUUUCGGUCAAGGAUGAUCUCGCGGCCCAUCAGCUAGUUGGUGAGGUAAUGGCUCACCAAGGCGACGACGGGUAGCCGGCCUGAGAGGGUGACCGGCCACACUGGGACUGAGACACGGCCCAGACUCCUACGGGAGGCAGCAGUGGGGAAUGUUGCACAAUGGGCGCAAGCCUGAUGCAGCAACGCCGCGUGAGGGAUGAAGGCCUUCGGGUUGUAAACCUCUUUUAGCAGGGAAGAAGCGAAAGUGACGGUACCUGCAGAAAAAGCACCGGCUAACUACGUGCCAGCCGCCGCCGUAA
rnacentral:rRNA from 1 species